GGGUUGUGAGGUUAAGCGACUAAGCGUACACGGUGGAUGCCCUGGCAGUCAGAGGCGAUGAAGGGCGUGCUAAUCUGCGAUAAGCGCCGGUAAGGUGAUAUGAACCGUUAUAACCGGCGAUACCCGAAUGGGGAAACCCAGUGUGAUUCGUCACACUAUCAUUAACUGAAUCCAUAGGUUAAUGAGGCGAACCGGGGGAACUGAAACAUCUAAGUACCCCGAGGAAAAGAAAUCAACCGAGAUUCCCCCAGUAGCGGCGAGCGAACGGGGAGGAGCCCAGAGCCUGAAUCAGCAUGUGUGUUAGUGGAAGCGUCUGGAAAGGCGCGCGAUACAGGGUGACAGCCCCGUACACAAAAGCGCAUGUGUUGUGAGCUCGAUGAGUAGGGCGGGACACGUGGUAUCCUGUCUGAAUAUGGGGGGACCAUCCUCCAAGGCUAAAUACUCCUGACUGACCGAUAGUGAACCAGUACCGUGAGGGAAAGGCGAAAAGAACCCCGGCGAGGGGAGUGAAAAAGAACCUGAAACCGUGUACGUACAAGCAGUGGGAGCACCCUUUGGGGUGUGACUGCGUACCUUUUGUAUAAUGGGUCAGCGACUUAUAUUCUGUAGCAAGGUUAACCGAAUAGGGGAG
rnacentral:rRNA from 1 species